rnacentral:pre_miRNA from 1 species
UUGAAGACUUUAAUUUAAAGACUUCAACUUGCAAACUUGAAUACUUUGAAAACUUCAACUUGCAUAUUUUAAGAAUUUGAAGACUUCAAUU